AUUGAACGCUGGCGGCAGGCCUAACACAUGCAAGUCGAGCGAGCGGCGGACGGGUGAGUAAUGUAUGGGGACUGCCCGAUAGAGGGGGAUAACUACUGGAAACGGUGGCUAAUACCGCAUACCGUCGGAUAACCCAUAUGGGAUUAGCUAGUAGGUAAGGUAAUGGCUUACCUAGGCGACGAUCCCUAGCUGGUCUGAGAGGAUGACCAGCCACACUGGGAAUGGGAAACGGCCCAGAAUCCUACGGAGGGAGCAGUGGGGAAACUUCCGCAAAGGGGGAAAGUCUGGCGGAGCAACGGCGCGUGAGUGAUGACGGCCUUCGGGUUGUAAAGCUCUUUUAAGCGGGAGACGGUACCGGAAUAGAAAGCCACGGCUAACUACGUGCCAGCAGCCGCGGUAAUUC
rnacentral:rRNA from 1 species